GGCUGGGUGAUGGAAUUGGUAGACUUGGCGGAUUCAAAAUCCGCUGCCGAAAGGCGUGGGGGUUCGAGUCCCCCCCCAGCUACCA
rnacentral:tRNA from 1 species